rnacentral:rRNA from 1 species
UACGGAGGAUCCAAGCGUUAUCCGGAAUUACUGGGCGUAAAGAGUUGCGUAGGUGGCAUAGUAAGUAGGGCGUGAAAGCGUGUGGCUCAACCAUAUACACAUGUCCUAAACUGCUAAGCUAGAAUAUAGAAGAGGUAGCUGGAAUUCCUAGUGUAGGAGUGAAAUCCGUAGAUAUUAGGAGGAACACCGAUGGCGUAGGCAGGCUACUGGUCUAUUAUUGACACUAAGGCACGAAAGCGUGGGGAGCAAACGGG